rnacentral:rRNA from 1 species
GUAGGCGUCCAGUGGCGGACGGGUGAGUAACGCGUAGGAAUCUACCUGAUAGUGGGGGAUAGCCCGAAGAAAUUCGGAUUAAUACCGCAUGAUCUAUUCGUAGUAAAGUGGGGGACUUUCGAGCCUCACGCUAUCRGAUGAGCCUGCGUAAGAUUAGCUAGUUGGUAGAGUAAAAGCCUACCAAGGCGACGAUCUUUAGCUGGUCUGAGAGGAUGAUCAGCCACAUCGGGACUGAGACACGGCCCGAACUCCUACGGGAGGCAGCAGUGGGGAAUAUUGGACAAUGGGGGCAACCCUGAUCCAGCAAUACCGCGUGUGUGAAGAAGGCCUGAGGGUUGUAAAGCACUUUCAAUUGUGAAGAAAAGCUAGUGGUUAAUAGCCAUUAGCCUUGACGUUAACUUUAGAAGAAGCACCGGCUAACUCCGUGCCAGCAGCCGCGGUAAUACGGAGGGUGCAAGCGUUAAUCGGAAUUACUGGGCGUAAAGCGUGCGUAGGCGGUUUAUUAAGUCAGAUGUGAAAGCCCCGGGCUUAACCUGGGAACUGCAUUUGAAACUGGUCAACUAGGAGUAUGGUAGAGGAAAGUGGAAUUUCUGGUGUAGCGGUGAAAUGCGUAGAUAUCAGAAGGAACAUCAAUGGCGAAGGCAACUUUCUGGACCAAUACUGACGCUGAGGUACGAAAGCGUGGGUAGCAAACAGGAUUAGAUACCCUGGUAGUCCACGCCGUAAACGAUGAUAACUAGCCGUUGGGGGGAUUUACCCUUAGUGGCGAAGCUAACGCGUUAAGUUAUCCGCUGGGGAGUACG